GUUGCAGUUCAGACCUGACGUCUGGAGCGAGAGAAAGGACGUCUUCGGAGACAUUAGGAUAUAUUCAACGGCGGUCAUCAGUCAGUCCGCGUCCUUGGGUCCUUGAGAAGGAAAAUUCACUUUGCUGUAUUUGCAGCUGAAAGGAAUAAUUUGCAUAUAAAUAUAAUUCUCCAAUUCGACCACUUUCGCCGACUGCGUCAUGUUAACACAAACAGGUAUCUUGUUCCUGUUCCUGGCGUUUAGUACUAUGACGAGCGUGGCUGAUGCCUCGCCCGUGUUGCUGGUCAACACAGACGGAACCUUGAACGCAACGUACGCUCCGUACGCCGUCCUGGCUGCCCUCGGCUACGGAGCCGUCACUUUAGCAGGAGUGCACGUAGCGCAGCUGUGGUCACCAGUCAUCAGGAACAACAACAUAAGGACGGUGCCAGACCCGGAAAUAGCUAAACACAACCGGGUGAUCAUGUCUAACUGGCUCAAGAAGAACGUAGGAGAUCCUGGGAGAUCGCCUGCUCUGGAGUCCUUGCGGAAUGCCGUUGCUCCCUUAACUUCCCUCAGACGACACGACACAUCUCAACCCAUCCAACAGGCGAUACCUAGACCAGUGGCGCCAUCGCCAAAGCCCAUUCCAAGAGUGCCUAUUGCUGGUCGUACGAAGACGAAGCCGCUGCCAGUCCAAGGGAAUCAGAAAAGUGCAGUCAGAAUUCGCCAAGUAAAACAGCGUCCCGUCUUUAGCUGACGGGGAUAUAUAAGCACUCAGAAUUUACCUGUUGAAUAUAAACGUUUUGUUUGAUUGUUUAUAGUUAGGGAACACACACAUGAACA